GUGACAGAAUAUUGCAUUGGUUGGACCUCGCUUGCAGAGAGAUAAAAAUGGUAAAUGGGUCAGUAAUGGAGAUGAAGUUCGCACUACUGCAAGUGCUCCUGCUUCCCACCUUCUGUCUUGCAGGUGGUUCGUCAUCAGUGAACCCACACCGAAACUGCACGGAUGCCUUUGGCGCUCAGCGUCCUGACAACGCGUCUUGCUUGGUAAAAGCUUAUGGCGACAGAUCUGAAGGAGAGUUCCGCUGCUUGGUUGGUGUAUGUAGAGGUGGUAUAUGCAUUACCACCCUUGCCUCAGAAUGUGCCACAAGCUGAGCACCAUAUAGCCCAUGAUAUUAAGCGAGAGCCAUGCCACUACCAAUAGCUGC